CACGUAGGGCGCGAGCGUUGUCCGGAAUUAUUGGGCGUAAAGAGCUCGUAGGCGGCCUGUUGCGUCCGCUGUGAAAGCCCGGGGCUUAACCCCGGGUCGGCAGUGGAUACGGGCAGGCUAGAGGUAGGUAGGGGAGAAUGGAAUUCCCGGUGUAGCGGUGAAAUGCGCAGAUAUGACAUAGAACACCAAUUGCGAAGGCAGCUUGCUACACAGUUAUUGACGCUGAGGCACGAAAGCGUGGGGAUCAAACAGG
rnacentral:rRNA from 1 species